rnacentral:rRNA from 1 species
GAUGAACGCUGGCGGCGUGCUUAACACAUGCCAGUCGAACGAGAAAUGUAGACGGAAACCUUCGGGCGGAAGCCUUCAUUUCGAGUGGCGGACGGGUGAGUAACGCGUGGGUAACCUGCCUCAUACAGGGGGAUAACAGUUGGAAACGACUGUUAAUACCGCAUAAGACCACAGCAUCGCAUGAUGCGGGGGUAAAAACUCCGGUGGUAUGAGAUGGACCCGCGUUCGAUUAGCCAGUUGGCGGGGUAACGGCCCACCAAAGCGACGAUCGAUAGCCGAUCUGAGAGGAUGACCGGCCACAUUGGGACUGAGACACGGCCCAAACUCCUACGGGAGGCAGCAGUGGGGAAUAUUGCACAAUGGGGGAAACCCUGAUGCAGCGACGCCGCGUGAGUGAAGAAGUACUUCGGUAUGUAAAGCUCUAUCAGCAGGGAAGAAAAUGACGGUACCUGAGUAAGAAGCCCCGGCUAACUACGUG